rnacentral:tRNA from 1 species
CGGGGUGUGGCGCAGCUGGGAGCGCGCAGCAUUUGGGAUGCUGAGGUCGGAGGUUCGAGCCCUCUCACCCCGACCA